AUGGGGCGGGACUCGGUCGUGAAGGGGCCUUCCUCGGUCUGGCGCAGUUCCCCCACGGGAUUCUGUAAAGCUCUUAGCUGUGCCAAAUUUUGUACAAACAGAGGAAUCAGUUCCCUUUCCAAAGACCUGCCAUACAGCUUAAAGAUGGCGGUGAACUGCAAGCAUGGCAAGAACUUUGUAGUGCUUAUUUGGAAGAAGCCAGUGGAUAGCCAGCUGCUUUGCAUUAUUCAGGUGGAAGAAGGAACAAAGUCAUUUUGGUCUGGAAUACAGUGGGAGCUGCAGGAGCAGGGACAGCACACUGCUUCAGCCUCAGUCAUGACGUCCCUGAGAGGUAAUACUUGUGAGAAGCAGAAAACAAAAUUGCUGAAGUGUACUAAAAUGCACAAGCCUAAGAUUAAAGCAAGACUUUAUCAUCCUUCACACUGUGCAAUCCAGGCGGAUAUGCCAACUUCUCCUCACUGAAUUCGGCCAGUCCACGCCAGUUGAAGUUCUGUCCCUGCAGACAGAGCCUACAUUUGUUUCUCAGGUGCUCUUUGCAAUUUUGAUUAGUCCUCAUGUGACGUGGCCUAGAGCAGGACUUAGGUCUUCAGGUAAAGUUGUCUCCUUUUAGCAUGUUUUGACAUUGCUUUCAGAAUCACAAAGAAAUGAAAGAGUUAAUAUUCUUUUGGUGGAAGCACUUGUCUUUUCAAGAGUGUAACGUGCUGAGAAGAUGAGCAAAAUAUGAUGAUAUCCACAACAUUCUCACUGUUCAGUGUGAUAGCCCAUGGGUCAACACAGGGAGAGAUCAUGAUUCUGAGUAGUCUCCCAAUAUGCGAUGGAAGUUGUCCUCAGGAUAUGUAUUUCUCCUGCACAUGAUGGAAAGAAGCUUGGCUAAAAUAAACUGUCCAAUUUCCCUAGUCA
rnacentral:lncRNA from 1 species